rnacentral:rRNA from 1 species
GAUGAACGCUGGCGGCGUGCCUAAUACAUGCAAGUCGAGCGAACAGACGAGGAGCUUGCUCCUCUGAUGUUAGCGGCGGACGGGUGAGUAACACGUGGAUAACCUACCUAUAAGACUGGGAUAACUUCGGGAAACCGGAGCUAAUACCGGAUAAUAUAUUGAACCGCAUGGUUCAAUAGUGAAAGACGGUUUUGCUGUCACUUAUAGAUGGAUCCGCGCCGCAUUAGCUAGUUGGUAAGGUAACGGCUUACCAAGGCAACGAUGCGUAGCCGACCUGAGAGGAUGAUCGGCCACACUAGAACUGAGACGCGGUCCAGACUCCUACGAGAGGCAGCAGUAGGGAAUCUUCCGCAAUGGGCGAAAGCCUGACGGAGCAACGCCGCGUGAGUGAUGAAAGUCUUCGGAUCGUAAAACUCUGUUAUUAGGGAAGAACAAAUGUGUAAGUAACUAUGCACGUCUUGACGGUACCUAAUCAGAAAGCCACGGCUAACUACGUG